AAAGAACCCCGAGCAGGGGAGUGAAAGAGAUCCUGAAACCAUGCGCCUACAAGCGGUCGGAGCUGCUUAAUGCAGUGACGGCGUGCCUUUUGCAUAAUGAACCUACGAGUUACCAUCACAGGCAAGGUUAAGUCUCAUGAGGGACGCAACCGCAGUGAAAGCGAGGCUGAAGAGGCCGUUUAGUCUGUGGGGGUAGACGCGAAACCAAGUGAUCUACACUUGUCCAGGUUGAAGUCCCGGUAACACGGGAUGGAGGACCGAACCAAUAAGCGUUGAAAAGCUUCUGGAUGAGGUGAGUGUAGGAGUGAAAGGCCAAUCAAACUUGGAGAUAGCUCGUACUCCCCGAAAGGCAUUUAGGUGCCGCGUCGGACGAUCAGCGUGAGAGGUAGAGCGACCGAUAGGACAAGAGGGCUUCACCGCCUAUCGAGUCCUGACGAACUCCGAAUGCUCACGCUCCGCAGUCCGGCAGUAAGGGGACGGGUGCUAAGGUCCGUUCCCGAGAGGAGAAGAAUCCAGACCGCCGUCUAAGGUCCCGGAAUUCUGUCUAAGUUAGUCUAACGAAGUGGGGUCUCAGUGACAGCCAGGAUGUUGGCUUGGAAGCAGCCAUUCAUUCAAAGAGUGCGUAACAGCUCACUGGUCGAGAGUCCCUGCAUGGAUAAUAAUCGGGUAUAAGACAGAUACCGAAGGCGCGGGAUAGCAGAGAAAUGAAAAGUAUCGGUAGGGGAGCAUUCCAUAUCCGUCGAAUGGUGCGGGUAACUGAUCCUGGAGGAUAUGGAAAAGCAAAUGUAGGUAUAAGUAACGAUAAGGAGGGUAAGAUUCCCUCCCGCCGCAAGACUAAGGUUUCCCGGGCAAUGUCAAUCAUCCCGGGGUCAGUCGGGUCCUAAGUCUCAGCCGAACGGCGAGGGCGAUGGCAGACACGGUCAACAUUCCGUGACUACCUUUAGGAGCGAUGCGGAGACGGAGCAGUGACACUUCCGCGAACCGACGGAAUGGUUCGUUGAAGAGUGUAGACGUUGAUCACGGUAGGCAAAUCCGCCGUGAGAGUCGAACUUGAAAGUACAGGGUCCUCUUCGGAGGAACUUGAUAGCGAAGGUAAUCAUACUCCCGAGAAAAUCCGCUAAGCAAUCUUAAAGGUACCCGUACCGCAAACGGACACACGUAGUCGGGUAGAACAUACUAAGGCGUUGAGAGAUUCAUGGUUAAGGAACUAGGCAAACUGACCCCGUAACUUCGGGAUAAGGGGUCCUCGUGAUGAGCGAGGCGCAGAGAAUAGGUCCAGGCAACUGUUUAACAAAAACACAGGGCUGUGCGAACUCGAAAGAUGAAGUAUACAGCCUGACACCUGCCCGGUGCCGGAAGGUUAAGAGGAGAUGUCAACCUUUGUGGCGAAGCAUUGAAUUGAAGCCCCGGUAAACGGCGGCCGUAACUAUAACGGUCCUAAGGUAGCGAAAUUCCUUGUCGGGU
rnacentral:rRNA from 1 species